rnacentral:ncRNA from 2 species
GAAGCUUGGCACGGGAGUCCCUGGAGCGGGGCUGAGAGUGGAGGUGACACCUCCAGACCGUCACCACCUGAUCCGGGUCAUGCCGGCGAAGGAAGCGAAGGGGACAUGUCG